UUGGAUACACUGGGUGGUUUGCAUAUCAAAACCUGAUCUUUAAACCAGACAGGGAAGCUUUGAUACAAAAAAUCAAGGACAUCUACAACGACAUACUUGGGAGCAGCUGAGAGGAAAUCGCUUGCAACUAAUGCGCUGGCUACUGGUCGAAUUAACUAGCUAGCUAGCAAGGUGAAUUAAUUCUCAGUUAUGCUGCAGAUGCAUCCUGUCCUG
rnacentral:misc_RNA from 1 species